UGCCAGCCGCCGCGGUAACACGGGGGGCGCAAGCGUUAUUCGGAAUUAUUGGGCGUAAAGGGCGCGUAGGCGGUCUUGUCCGUCAGGUGUGAAAGCUCGGGGCUCAACCCCGGAAGUGCACUUGAAACAGCAAGACUUGAAUACGGUAGAGGAGAGAGGAAUUCCUGGUGUAGCGGUGAAAUGCGUAGAGAUCUGAAGGAACAUCAGUGGCGAAGGCGACUACCUGGACUGAUAUUGACGCUGAGGUGCGAAAGCGUGGGGAGCAAACAGGAUUAGAUA
rnacentral:rRNA from 1 species